GGGGAUUAAGGUUCUAGGCCAAAAAAGAAAAAUCACGUGUAACAAAGUAACACUAUGUUCCAGCCUAGCCUAAGAAAAUUCUACUAUCAGGUGCUUCUGGUGUUUUAAGACAGACCAACCAAAACUUGCUGAAAAAAAUCCUUAAAAAUGUGUAGGAAUAUAAAGCAUCACCCCAAAAUAGCACAGCUCAGAGGAGGGUUACACAUAGCAAACAGGUGAUGUUCAUGUUGAAAUGCAUGAGACGUGCUUUCACUGGAACAUGUUUUAUGAUUUUCAUGUCAAUCUAUUCUCACUAGAAAUGGCUCCAUUUUCACUGGCCAUAAAGUAUAAUCUCAUAACAUUUAAGGCAAAUAAUUUGUCAGAAAGAAGAAAAACAAGAAGUGUUCUUAGACAUAGUACCUGUUGCUAGCCCUUUCCCAGGAUGCAGGUGCCAUUUGUGUGGCAGUUGCACCGCUCUAUAGGUUAGGGUAAAGAUAUUGCCUUAACAACUCAUUAUUUUAAUCUCUCUUUGAUGCACUAUUGCCCUUGUUAAUCUUCAAUUCCCAGUUGUCAGAAAAAGAAGAAGUUUUUAACUCCAGGGAUUACAGCCACAGCCCACGGAAAGCAGAAGCAAGCAAAAGUCUUCUGGUACACCCAAUUCCCUCCCCACGACAGACAGACAUAAUUUUUUCAGAUGAGACACAACCCGACACUCCGCAAAACAAAAACAACAAAAAGUUGGGUUUUUUUUAAAAAAAGUGUAUGACACAAUGGAGGAAAGAGGUUAGUGCUGAGGGUAAAUUCCAAAUAGCUCAGCGUGUUUUCCUGGAUUGUCUCUUACGUAACCCCAAAAUUCAGGCUCGCAACAGCCUGCUGGGAGCAGAGGGGAGUAGGUCGGGAACUCAUUGACAAUACCAGGCACAUGUGCACAUACACGCACAGCCACCACACACACAGGCGACAAGAAUUAGGUAGUCCACUGCAAAUGUCAGCCAAUUUAUGUAAUAUCUUUUUACUCAGCA
rnacentral:lncRNA from 1 species